GAUGAACGCUGGCGGCGUGCCUAAUACAUGCAAGUCGAGCGACCGCACGAGAAGCCCUCUCCUCUGAUGUUAAACGCGUAAGGGAUAUAACCAAGCGGAUCCCCAACUUAUAAAUAUCGUAGAACUUCGGGCACCCGUACCUCAUACGGUCUAAUAUUUUGAACCGCAGGCCUCAAAAGCGUAUGCCUGUCUAGCGGCCUAUUACUGAUGGUCUCGCGCUUCAUUAGCUAGUUGGUAAGGUAACGGCUUACCAAGGCAACGAUGCAUAGCCGACCUGAGAGGAUGAUCGGCCACACUGGAACUGAGACACGGUCCAGACUCCUACGGGAGGCAGCAGUAGGGAAUCUUCCGCAAUGGGCGAAAGCCUGACGGAGCAACGCCGCGUGAGUGAUGAAGGUCUUCGGAUCGUAAAACUCUGUUAUUAGGGAAGAACAUAUGUGUAAGUAACUGUGCACAUCUUGACGGUACCUAAUCAGAAAGCCACGGCUAACUACGUG
rnacentral:rRNA from 1 species